UUUCGCCAAUUUUUAUUUCAACAAGUGCUGUCGUGUUUCUGUCGAGCCACGAGGGGUAGUAGCGAGCUAGUCAUCAUUAGCAACAUAGCCUCUUUGGCAAACCAGCUUGAAAACACAACUUUACAUUGAAUUUCACGCAAAGCAAGACCAUAAAUUGGUGACCGGAUUAAAGCAGCAAUGAAAUCAAGUGUGUAAGAGGAUUUAAAAUUGACAUUACAACCCCCAACGUGGUACUAAUACAAAGAAAAUACAGCUCAAUCCCCAUUGAUUAUGGGCGCAGCCAUCUUGUUUGCUAGUUGUACAGAUCUGCUCGCUCUACUUUGAAAUCGACGAGAUACUACGACCGAAAGGGGGCGUGCCUCAGUGAAAUGCCGCAAGAAAGCUGGGAGAUUGGCGACUUUACCGCUUCGUACAUCCAAAUGGAUAGCAGCAUUUCUCUGACUGCGUUCAAACCAAAUGCUGUAAAGCGUUUUGAGCGAUAAACGCCCAUUCACUUUCUAUAAGACAUGAGCGAUAAAGCAAUAGGAGCGAUACAUCGCUUGAGCUUAGGCUGUAAAGCUGUAAAUGAGAGUUGAAAACGGCUCACUUCUAUGCAAAUUAGCUUGUAGCAUUUCGGCAGUAAACAUAGGGACUCUCUAAAUCGACGCCACUUCGACCUGGGCGGGACUUUACGUACUACGUCACUCGCUAUGGGUCACUCGCUGGGAGUAUCCACCCUGGGUACCGUCGUAUUUUAAAAUAAUAAAUACAAGCAAUGGAUACAUUUCUGGAUUUGUCCAGACUCAAAAAGAAUUGGAGAGUCUGCUGGAGGUCCACUCAAGGGCCACACUGACAUCGUUUGUCAAAUGGUCUGAACACAUAAAAGAUGGCACCAAAGAGAGGCAUCUAUGGCAGGUGGAGGAUUUCAAUGAAGACACCCCUCUAUGUGUGAAGAAAAGAAUGGUCCUUGCUUGUCAGCAUGGCAAAGCUCGACAGAAAAAAGAAAAGGAGAAACGUUCAGCAGAGCAUGCAUACACAAAAAAACGUUUUCAUGUCCAAAAUGGGAAGAAGUUGGACUGCCCAGCUAAACUUUUCAUUCGGCAUGUGCUGAGCUCCCUUGUCGCCCCUAAUUGAACAUUGCGAGGAGACACUGGGCCACAGCUCUUCUGCUGUCCUGCACCCAAAAUCCUGAGGAUGCCAUGGAGCUCGGCAAAAAAAUCCCUAGCUAACCCUAAAUAUUUAUAUUAAACCAUUUUGCAACAGGCAACUGUGUGUUGGUGUGUCUUAUUGCUUCCCACGUCUGCGUCUGCGUCUGCAUCUUUCCCACUCCUGGCUAAUAGUUUCAGCUUUUGUACUGUAUAUCAGAAAUGAUCACCCUGUACCACACUGCUGACUUGUUGAUGAUUUGUGAGCACUCACGCAUUUCUCUAGGUAUCUUAAGUUUCCUACUGGAGUCAUCAAAACUUUGGACUUUGUGUUAUUGUAAGAAAUAUUGUGUUGCAAAAACUAGAAAUUGUAAAGACAGUGAUGUGUGUACAUUGUGCGAUUAUCCAUCACUCGCGAUGUGUGUGCAGUCCAAAAUGAAAGAAAAAACCUUGCAUCACUUGGGAAUCGAACCCCCAAUCAGCAUUCUUUAAACGUUGGUCGUUGGUAACUGUAAACAAAGAGAUCGCAUUUUUUUUAACUGCUAACUAACAAACGGAUUUAUGCGUUCACUGAACAAAGAUUAUGGAAAUAAAAGACCACUUUUCCAUCAGAAAAAUCAUCAGAACCGUUAUUACCAACCCAUAGACGCUAUCAUCAGAACCGUUAUUACCUACCCAUAGACGCUAAAAGCGAAAACCUUUCUCACAUGCACACCCAUCGCGAGUGAUAUGGAGUCAGUUUCCUGCCAUAAUUCAAACCUGAAAAAAAAAGUUUCACAGACUUGUAAGUCUGGGUUUGAAAACUCAACACCUUGUAAAAAAGGUUUUGCAACACUGAAAAAAGAGAUUAUAACC
ensembl:lncRNA